rnacentral:rRNA from 1 species
AUUGAACGCUGGCGGCAGGCUUAACACAUGCAAGUCGAGCGGGGUGAUGGUGCUUGCACUAUCACUUAGCGGCGGACGGGUGAGUAAUGCUUAGGAAUCUGCCUAUUAGUGGGGGACAACAUCUCGAAAGGGAUGCUAAUACCGCAUACGUCCUACGGGAGAAAGCAGGGGAUCACUUGUGACCUUGCGCUAAUAGAUGAGCCUAAGUCGGAUUAGCUAGUUGGUGGGGGAAAGGCCUACCAAGGCGACGAUCUGUAGCGGGUCUGAGAGGAUGAUCCGCAACACUGGGACUGAGACACGGCCCAGACUCCUACGGGAGGCAGCAGUGGGGAAUAUUGGACAAUGGGGGGAAUCCUGAUCCAGCCAUGCCGCGUGUGUGAAGAAGGCCUUAUGGUUGUAAAGCACUUUAAGCGAGGAGGAGGCUCUUUUGGUUAAUACCCAAGAUGAGUGGACGUUACUCGCAGAAUAAGCACCGGCUAACUCUGUGCCAGCCGCCGCCGUAA